GCGUGCACACGCACGAGUGUGUGUGUGUGUGUGUGUGUGGGGGGCCAGGCGUGGGGGACGGCCUAGUCAUCCUUGUCCUUGGCCCCAUGCUUGAGGAUGCGCGUGAACUCCACGUAGUU